AUCCUUUCCAACAAACAGGAAAUGAUAUUUUCUGUAUCACCCAUCCCUUCCUGUACCAGUUCGUUUGCUUGCUUUCAUUUGUUAGUCAAAACCACAAAAGCAGAUGAGUCAUUCCUGCUGACUUGACCCGUCAUGCAAGUAAACAAACCAUGCAGAUCUUUGCACAUUGUUUUAUUUCAGGCUUUUUCUUCUUUCUCUUUGGACGUACAUGCUUCUCGUAACGUUCAUCUCUAUUCAUCAGCUCAUGGCCGUUGUCUCCCAUGCCAUCGGGUUCCAUGAAUCCUGGAGAGAUCCCUAGAUCAAGAUGCAGGUUCUUCUCCUCCUCCUGCAAGAGGCUCAACCUGGAUUGGAACAGAUAAGCAUCGCUCCGCUUCAGAAGGCCUUUAUUAACCCUCCGGAGCCAUGUGGAGAACACGUUUAGGAUGGAUAGAUGUGGAUCGAAGCACUUUCUUCAGUUCAUACUCGCGAACCCUGUUCACUGCCAUUAUAAAGCCUGGAUGCGUCAGGAUAUUUAUUAAAAUAUGUCCGAUUGUAUUCAUCAGAAGGAAGAAAGUCAUAUAAACCUAGUAUGGCUUGAGGGCUUUUUCUUCUUUCCCUUUGGAUGCACAUGUUUCUCUUUUCUAUAACGUUCAUCUCCAUUCAUCAGCUCAUGGCCGUUGUCUCCCAUGCCAUCGGGUUCCAUGAAUCCUGGAGAGAUCCCUAGAUCAAGAGUCAGACAAUGAUGGAGAGACUCAAGAAGAAGUGACAUCAUGUUGAAUGCGACAGGACACUUCUGAACGGCUUUUUCUUCUUUCUCUUUGGACGCACAUGUUUCUCAUAAUGUUCAUCUCCAUUCAUCAGCUCAUGGCCGUUGUCUCUCAUGCCAUCAGGUUCCAUGAAUCCUGGAGAGAUCCCUAGAUCAAGGCUUUUUCUUCUUUCCCUUUGGACGCACAUGCUUCUCGUAACGUUCAUCUCUAUUCAUCAGCUCAUGGCCGUUGUCUCCCAUGCCAUUGGGUUCCAUGAAUCCUGGAGAGAUCCCUAGAUCAAGGCAGGGUGCAUAUGCCCCCCCAGGAAGAGUGUCCUUGCUGGGGGUGAGGGGUCAGCGGCGGCCAGCUGGUUGGAAGGCCUUUCAUUGAUGGAGCACUUUGUCCAUCUGCAGGCUGAAAUCAAUCUGCCUGCAUGCUGGCGAACAGCAGAUCAGGUUACGUCACACCCUCCUGCCCUGUGGCUCCCAACACCUUGUGCUCAUUGUGAGAGCUCCGUGGGUGGCAAGAACUACUGGAACAGGCUCGAAUCUGCAAACAGUUCUGUUUGAGCAGACAAACUUUAUUGGCCCGGAAGAAGAGGAUGGUAUUGUGGAGCUCGUGUGCUCAAGGCCUGCUGUUGGAUGGGCCUGUUUGUCUCUGGGGCCAUGUGAAUAUGUCACUUUCGACCCCUCCACGAGGAAUAUGGGUAAUGGCUGAUUAAAGGGAGGGGUUUGUCACCUCUACUGCCCUUCUUCUCAAAUCAUUCAAUUUCUACAUGGAGCUCCUAACUACAACCUCAGCAGCUCUCUAUAAGCCCAGACCCCCCUAUUUAUCAUGCUGAAAUUUACACCCCCUCAGGGCCAUUAGAGUCUUAUGGUGCGAUUUCUCACUGGUCCUUGACAUAUCACUUAUUGAGUGCAUCAAGUAUCUCACAGAUAAGAUCAGCUGACACAGGUCAUGUAAGCAGAGAUGCCGAGCGCACUGAACGGAAAUCAGGCACAUUUCUUUUGUUUCACUCUUUUCUUGCUUUGAAAUCUGAUAUCAGAAGAGUUCUGCAUCGUUUGUUUUACUCUGUCAUGCUGUAAUGGAACAACAAUCAAAAGGUUUUUUUAAAGAAAUGAAUACUUUUAUUAAGCAAAAACAUAUUAAAAUUAAUCAAAAGUAAACAGUGGGCCAGAGAUGUGUUACAUUUCUGAGUUUGGAAAAAAAUAAGACUUCAUUUAAGGGGCUCCAGGUCUAGGUUCACUGUCAUGUGCCGUCCUUUCAUAAAUUAUCUUCAAAACCAAUUAUAACUGUAAGUGGACGAACGGAUGCUGUUUUGCUUGUGAUUUACUGUUAUUCUUUCUCUUUUUUUUCUGUUUACACACACAAUGUAAAAGCAUAAUGUCUGUAUGCAUGCUGUGUUGUUGGUUGUGUUGAUAUGUGAAUAUGUAUGUUGAUUGUUGUGUAAACAAAUUAAAAAAUUGAUCAAAA